UGGGGAAUAUUGGGCAAUGGAGGAAACUCUGACCCAGCGACGCCGCGUGAGGGAUGAAGGCCUUCGGGUUGUAAACCUCUUUCAGCAGGGAAUAAGCGAAAGUGAAGGUACCUGCAGAAGAAGCACCGGCUAACUAUGUGCCAGCAGCCGCGGUAAUACAUAGGGUGCAAGCGUUGUCCGGAAUUAUUGGGCGUAAAGAGCUCGUAGGUGGUCGAUCACGUCGGAUGUGAAAAUCUGAGGCUUAACCUCAGACCUGCAUUCGAUACGGGUUGACUAGAGUGUGGUAGGGGAGACUGGAAUUCCUGGUGUAGCGGUGGAAUGCGCAGAUAUCAGGAGGAACACCGAUGGCGAAGGCAGGUCUCUGGGCCAUUACUGACACUGAGGAGCGAAAGCGUGGGGA
rnacentral:rRNA from 1 species